UGGGGAAUAUUGGACAAUGGGCGCAAGCCUGAUCCAGCCAUGCCGCGUGAGUGAUGACGGCCUUAGGGUUGUAAAGCUCUUUCACCCACGACGAUAAUGACGGUAGUGGGAGAAGAAGCCCCGGCUAACUUCGUGCCAGCAGCCGCGGUAAUACGAAGGGGGCUAGCGUUGCUCGGAAUCACUGGGCGUAAAGGGCGCGUAGGCGGCCUGACAAGUCAGGGGUGAAAGCCUGUGGCUCAACCACAGAAUGGCCUUUGAUACUGUUGGGCUCGAGACCGGAAGAGGUUGGUGGAACUGCGAGUGUAGAGGUGAAAUUCGUAGAUAUUCGCAAGAACACCGGUGGCGAAGGCGGCCAACUGGUCCGGUUCUGACGCUGAGGCGCGAAAGCGUGGGGAGCAAACAG
rnacentral:rRNA from 1 species